rnacentral:sRNA from 1 species
CAGUCUCAAAGCAGAGACAGAUGGGCUGCUUGCAGACCAGUCCGGCUCUGCUUUAGAGACGACAACAGGUAUGAAGAAGAAGGCCGACAGGCCGGAUUCUGAAUACCUGUAGAAUUGCGAGAGCACGCAGUGCGGAGCAAUUCGUGGG